rnacentral:rRNA from 1 species
GACGAACGCUGGCGGCGUGCUUAACACAUGCAAGUCGAACGCUGAAGCCCUUUCGGGGGUGGAUGAGUGGCGAACGGGUGAGUAACACGUGGGUAAUCUGCCCUGUACUUCGGGAUAAGCCUUGGAAACGGGGUCUAAUACCGGAUAGGACCUGUCCUCGCAUGGGGGUGGGUGGAAAGUUCCGGCGGUAUGGGAUGAGCCCGCGGCCUAUCAGCUUGGUGGUGGGGUAGUGGCCUACCAAGGCGACGACGGGUAGCCGGCCUGAGAGGGUGCCCGGUCACACUGGGACUGAGACACGGCCCAGACUCCUACGGGAGGCAGCAGUGGGGAAUCUUGCGCAAUGGGCGAAAGCCUGACGCAGCAACGCCGCGUGGGGGAUGACGGCCUUCGGGUUGUAAACCUCUUUCGACAUCGACGAAGGGGCCCUGUUGUGGGGUUUUGACGGUAGGUGUAGAAGAAGCACCGGCUAACUACGUGCCAGCCGCCGCCGUAA